rnacentral:lncRNA from 1 species
UGCAAAAGAAACAGUUAUCAGAGUGAAGAGGAAACCUACAGAAUGGGAGAAAUGUUUGUAAACAACUCAUCUGAUAAAUUAUUAAUAUACAGCAUCUAUAAAGACUCAAAUGACUUAAAUGUAAGUUGACAAGGAUAACAAGAAUGCAUUUAAAAGCAGACUAGAAAACUGAACUGACAUUUCUCAAAUGAAUAUGUAAGUAGUUAAGUAGUAUUUCAAAAAAUAUUCUCCAUUAAUAAUAAUGAAGUAAAUAGAAAAGAAAAUAACAACAGUGAGAUUCUAUAGCUCUAGUAAGAACAGUUACUGCCUAAAUGACCUAAGGUACCAAGUGCUACUGAAGAUGCAGAAGAAAGCCAACCUUUGGUUGUUAUUGGAAGGGACAGAAAUUAGUAAGUCGUCAUAGAAAACAAUAUAGAGUUUUCACACACACAAAAUAAAAUUAAUGUAGAACUACUAUGCAAAACCAACAAGACUGCUACCUAGUAUGUAGCUACAAGAAAAUCAGCUUGUUGGAGUGAAUGCUUCACUCUUAUGUUUCUCAUAGCAAUAUUCACAAUGGAGAAAUAGAAGCUCCAUGCUCAUCUCCUGAUGAGUGCAUAGGAAAGUGCCAUGCAUACACAUAAUAGAAUACUUAGUUACAAAAUUAAUGAUGUACCACUAUCUGUAACACCUGGGAUAGAACCAGUUAUAAGAAGUCAUGGGACUGAAAGGAACACUUGGCAAACACCCAAAGGCUUAAUCUUACCCAAUAUAGAAGUCACCCAGAUUAUGGGUCUGAAGAAUUCCCAAGGAAGAGAACCAAAUGCAGAAUACAGAUAAAA